UUUUUAGCUCGAUUUUCACUU
rnacentral:piRNA from 1 species